rnacentral:rRNA from 1 species
UGGGGAAUAUUGGGCAAUGGGCGCAAGCCUGACCCAGCAACGCCGCGUGAAGGAAGAAGGCCCUCGGGUUGUAAACUUCUUUUAUCAGGGACGAAGAAGUGACGGUACCUGAUGAAUAAGCCACGGCUAACUACGUGCCAGCAGCCGCGGUAAUACGUAGGUGGCAAGCGUUAUCCGGAUUUACUGGGUGUAAAGGGCGUGUAGGCGGGGUCGCAAGUCAGAUGUGAAAUUCCAUGGCUUAACCAUGGACCUGCAUUGAAACUGUGAUUCUUGAGUGAUGGAGAGGCAGGCGGAAUUCCGUGUGUAGCGGUGAAAUGCGUAGAUAUACGGAGGAACACCAGUGGCGAAGGCGGCCUGCUGGACAUUAACUGACGCUGAGGCGCGAAAGCGUGGGGAGCAAACAGGAUUAGAUACC